UGUGAUAUAGCUCAACGGUAGAGCGCCAUGCUGAUACCAUGGAGGUUGAUAGUUCGAUUCUAUCUAUCACAA
rnacentral:tRNA from 1 species